CACAAGUGUUUCCCAGUGUUGUGGCUGUUUGGGUUCCUGGCAUGCUGAUUUGUGACUUAAAAUUAAAAUCACAUUGCCAGGGAUUACCACAGAGCCAUGACCAUGGCUGCUGUUAUGAAA
rnacentral:pre_miRNA from 14 species